GCCGCGGGUCGGGAUAAAAGGGCAGGGCGCGAUGCCUGGACGUUCUCCGAGGACUGCGGGCUUCGACCCUUCCCCCCACGCAACCACAGAGUCCCUCAGAGACCCGCGUGGCUUCGAGGAGCUGACGGUGCUGCAGAGCAAAUCCGACCGGCUGUUGGCAACCCAGCUGGAAAAGGCGGGCUCGGUUGCAGCCCCUCUCCAGCCAUUUUGAUGGUGGUGGUAGGGGAGGGGGGGCGCUUCAACAAGCGGAGAAGAGCAGCAGCACCGCCUCGGGCACGCCGGUCGAGCCACAAGGCUCCCUCGGCCUCCUGUCUCCCAGCCCGGUUUGCCGCCCUUGCGCCUUACUUACCCAUGGCCAGCGAGGAGGAGGCGCAGCAGCUGCCCGAGCAGUUCAGCGCGGAUCCAGCCUUGGCUGCUUUCACGGCCCUUUUCCAGCCCUCUUCAUCGCCCAUCUCCGCCUCCUCCUCCUCCUCCCGUUUCCCCCCCAGCCUGGCUGGCUGCGCCUCUCGCGGCCGGAGGACUGAGAUGGCGCCGUGCCCAGGACCGACGGCGCUGGAGCCGGCGCGCGAAAAGUCGGGGUCCCGGCCGCACCAGGGUGCCGCUUUAAGGCAGGGCCGCCCUCCGGUUUUGGAAUAUUAGGACAGGGACGAAUGUUUGCAACCGUGUCCUUUGCUUCUGGAGGAAGAACGGAACUCAAGUAUUGAACAAACUGUGGCUUGUAGAAGUCUAUUAUUAAGCUACGAAGCUUUUCACUAAAACAGAAGAGAGGGAAAAUGAAAUAGUCAACUGUGGAAAUAUUUCUAAGAGUAAUGUUACGUGUGGAAAUAAAGAACAGAAAAAUACCUGG